CACCCACCCUGUGCACAUACCAAUAAAUGUAGCUUAGGGUCUGUAAGACCCACUUUACUGUAAGGUAAACACAGCAUGGAUUUAGUUUAAGGUGAGCACGUGAUCUUUUGCAGACCGUAUCUUUGGCUCCGUGUAUAGCACACAUUGAGAGAGAUUGCACUUUGAUUACGGCUUUUUGUAGCAGAGCAAUAGGGCGGGUACAUUAAGAGCUAUAUUGGUGCAGUUAAUUGCAACAAACUAAAGUGCAAAACAGAUUGUUGGGUCCGAAGGGCAUUUCCACUUUUAGCAGCAAAUAUAUUAGGGUGAUGAUGACCUUAAUGUUUCUGGGUUCUUUUCCCAUGAUGCUCAGCCAACCUUAAAUAUGGUAAAGCUUUAUGGGAAAUGGAAAUCAGGAAUAUCUGGUAUGCCAGCGUCCUUUAUUACUGCAUCAUUGUGCAGGCUGUGUUCCUGAAUACUGUAAAAAAAAAAACAAAAAAAAAAAAACACAGGAUAUUUCCCUUAUUAUAGCGGCCUUGUCACCUUCUGCUUGCAUAUUUUGCCUGGGGCUGCUAAGGAAGGUAAGGUUUACUUGCCUGAAGCUGUCCCUUGUGGCACCUUCAGCUGGGGGAUCCGCUUCAUCUGCAAGGAGCCAACGUCAGUGCUGUAUGUAAAAGAAUACUGCAAGACCUCAGAAGCCUCCAUACACAAUGCCUUUUGCUUCACAGCUAUCAUUAGUGAUGGCUUGGGGAAUUGACAAAACUUGACUGCAGUAGCUCUGCCAUUUUAUGCCCAGGAUUGUCAAGUAGAGGAGAUUCCUACACGAGUAUUUCAUAAAGAUUUUAUGAGUAAAACAUACCUGUCAGAAUUGCCUUUCUUUUAAAUAUUGCUUGCGUUAUUUUGUGCAUUUAAUGCAGUCUCCAGCAAUUAGUAUCUGUUUUAGUUGGUAUAUCUAGUAUGUGUAUGUAAGUGUUUUAAUACUGUAUAAUAUAACAGCGUAACCCCUAAAUUCGCUUAUACAUCAGUUUUAUUACAUUUCAAGGCUUAUCCUGAACCACAUAGCUAAGCUCCGUUUUACAAAUUGAACUCAUUGAGUGCCUGUAAAGUCAAUUUUGCAAGUCUCACCUCAAAGGAGCCAAAUUGUUAGUUAAACACUAUCUGGGUUUUUCACUAAAGUGAGAGUUGUCAAGAAUUCAAAGUAAAUGUGCAAAGGUGCACUCUGGGUCCUAUUGUGCGACAUGCUCAAAGUAUCAUGACAGAAGCAAGUUUUAUUUUUCUUUGCACCAUCUCCUUAUUUCUAGAAAGAAAAAUAAAGUACAGCACCUUUUGUAGUUUGUAGAGUACAGGGAGUGCAGAAUUAUUAGGCAAGUUGUAUUUUUGAGGAUUAAUUUUAUUAUUGAACAACAACCAAAGCUGAAUAUUUUUGGAAGUAGUUUUUAGUUUGUUUUUAGUUUGAGCUAUGUUAGGGGGAUAUCUGUGUGUGCAGGUGACUAUUACUGUGCAUAAUUAUUAGGCAACUUAACAAAAAAC